UGAACCCAAUUAACCCAAUUUUAACUUGUCCCUACUAAGUGUUUUAUUUUAGAUGUACACUGCUCCCUAAGUCCUUUAGGGUACUAUAUGGAAAAACUAUAAACAGGCUAAAAAGGUCAUGACAUUAAUUUUGCUGUCAUUUUCAUGCCUUAAGUAGGCAUCAAAAACUAGAAGAACCUUGUCCUGUGGGAAGGAGGGUAAAUCUGAAACUAAUUAUAGUAGUUAUCAUAAUAAUACUAUUACAAUUAAACACUAUGACCCUAGCUAAAUAUAUUUUGGUACCUUUUGCUAAUGAAUACAAUUUUUCAAAUAAGAUUAUUAGAGUCCUAGGUAGAGCAAAAUGGUUCACCAGAGGACUAGUAGAAUAAAGUAACCACUCAAAAGCCUGAAUUUUCAUUCACCUAAAGCUUAGCUAGAAGGCUUAAUGUAAUAAACUUAGCAUAGCUGGAUUCUUUUGCAGAAAAUGCUAUACUUGUUACAAGACUUUAUUUAAGAAGGAAAAACUUCUAAUUUCGCAUGGGUAGACCACUACAUGAAAAGUCACAUCUGCCACGGUUCACUGCCGACUUAGGAACAGAUUUCACUUAUUUUCUAUUGUCAUAUGCUUCUCCUGUUUUGUCAACUGAGGAUUUGUUUAUAAGCACUAUUAUUUAAACCUAAAAGAAAAUAAAAGGGGAAAAUAUCUCAAUAUUUCAGUAGCUUCUUUCUGUUCUUAAGGUUUUAAGAAUCGAACUGCUUUAUGUGUCUGGAAGACAAGAUGGUCUAGCAGCAACAUUUAAGCUUAGUGAUUUCCUGCUAAUUCAGGUUCCAACCACCUUAUAACAUCUAGCCUGAGCACCAGUGGGAUGGUUAACCAUCUGAUUAGCAGAUUCAAAGCUCUAUAAGGGUAAGGUCCACAUGUCAUGUUCCCAUAAGUCUCAGGACCUGGAAGAAGAAUCUUUCAAACUUAUCCACUUUUGAAGAUAUAAACUUGAGCAAAAGAAGACACAAGAUUUUGCAGAUAUUCAAUGACAAAAUACUUCCUAAUAAUGAUUACAUAACUCAGCAAACAACAAGACCCACAUCGAGUUAAAAAUAUUCUAAGGAUGGAAGAAAAGGUUAUUUAUCUAAAUGAUCAGUGUGACAAAAUUAAAGCACAUGUUCUCUAAGUACAAAUGCCAAAGGCUCUAGAGUUUUGGCUACCUUAGGUUCUGAGUCAUAAAGUCAAAGCCUUAAAAAACCUAACAAGUAACUCUUGAAACAGAAGCAUGCUAUUACAGUCUUAAGGUAUGUUAUCUUUGCAAAGUUCUUAUUGACUAUCUCAGAAUUCAUUACAUUAAAAGAAAAACUUUUAAAAGGAACUAGGGGAUAGCAGAUAUCCUUAAACAACACAUAUACAGGUUAUGACAAUUCUCAAGAGGAAUCUAAAUCAUAAUACCCUUCAGUGAAUGUGUAUAAUUUUUGACAUAUCUUUACUUCACCAAUCCAUAAACACUGAAUUAAGUCUACUCAUAAACUUGUAUUCCAGUUUUAAGAGAAUUUUACCCAAGGUGAAAAGUUAUACUUUUAAAAAAAAAUCAAAUCAAAACAAAAGAUUUCUGGCUAUAAAGAUGGCUAAUUAAAGUCAUGUUUUAUUAUGCAAGCAUACACCUUUCUGUCAAAACAGGAAGGGUAAAAGGUAUGAACUUAUUCAUUAAUUAGCAGGCUAAUAACUCCACAGAGCAGGAAUUGAAAAACGUCUUCUGUAAAGGAUCAGUUAGAAAAUAUUUUCAGUUUUGUAGACCCUAUGGUUGUUGUCACUACUCCAUUCUGCUGUUGUGGCAUGAAACUGGCAAUAGACAAUAUAAAUGAUAUUAAAUUCCAAUAAAACUUUAUUUAUGAAUACUGAAAUAUAAUUUUAUAUCAUUUUCAUGCAUCAAAAAACCUUCUUUUGUUUUUUUAAUAAUUUAGAAAUGUAAAAACCAUUCUUUGCUUGUAGGUUACACAAAACCAAUUUGGUCUGCAAGCUAUAGUUUGUUAAACCUUAUCCUAAUCCAAGAGUUCAGUAAACCUGGUUUAUACAACUUACUAGCCACAUGACCUUGUCCUUACUCCACCAAAAUAAAACAAAACAAAAACAAAUACAGAAAUCCCCCCCAAAAACCAAAACAACAACAAAAAAACCCCACCAACAUUAAGCUCUUAAUUUCCAGUAGGAGUUGGAGACCUGUGCUACUGGUAUAAAAACAGUAGCAGAAACUAACUUUUAUUUUGAUAUUAUAGUGUUGCAAACUGUUCUAAGCAUUUUAUUGAAUGCUAAUUUAUUUAAUUUUCUUCAUAGCAAUAGGAUGAGUAUUUAAUGAAUCCCAUUUUACAUAUAAGAAAAUUUAGGCACAGAGAGGUUAGGUAAAUUAUUGAAGCUCACACUGCUAGUAAAUGUAUAGAUGAUGCUUAUAGACAGGUACAGGGUUCUGUUCUCUAAUUUUAAAAUUUCUCCAUUCUUAAAGUUCCCAUUUCAAAUGCCAAUUCUCAGAAAUUAAAAUGCAUAAGAGAAUAAGAACAUGGAACAACACGUAAGAUAAUUAUAGCUCAUCAAUAAUGUAGAGCUAAUCUUUGGAUUGUGCCUGUACUGACCCUCAUUGUUAUACAAAAUUACAUAUAAGAGGUUGUGAGGGGAAUGGGAAAAAAAAAACAAGGAGAGAAAUGAAUUACAGUAAAUGGGGUAGAGAGAGAAGAUGGAAGGGGAGGGGAGGGGGGAUAGUAGAGGAUAAGAAAGGUAGCAGAAUACAACAGUUACUAAUAUGGCAUUAUGUAAAAAUGUGGAUGUGUAACCGAUGUGAUUCUGCAAUCUGUAUUUGGGGUAAAAAUGGGAGUUCAUAACCCACUUGAAUCUAAUGUAUGAAAUAUGAUAUGUCAAGAGCUUUGUAAUGUUUUGAACAACCAAUAAAAAAAAUGUGGCAUAUAAAAAAAAAAAAAACAAAGUCGAUUCAAAUGGAUGGGCAC